rnacentral:misc_RNA from 1 species
AUUGAAGGUGGGAGCAGGGGAUAAAGGGGAGACUGAGAUGGAGUAUAUGGAUGAAGUAUUGUUGGAGGGAUUUAAAUUAUCCUUAAAUGCUAUUUAGGGCAUUAUGGGUACCCAGACAAUGUGGCUGAUAGGAUUGUGUAAGGAAAUGUGAGUUGCAAUUAUUGAUUGAUACAAGGAGUUGUCACAAUUUCAUAAUCAAACAAAUAGAUGUGAGUUGUUGAAGGAUUCUGGGAUUUUAUUUGAAAUAGCAAAUAGUCAAGCACUACGUUGUGGGUAUGCGUGCAAG